GCAUCGGCACAGCAUCAGAAGUGAGUGUGGAAGUUGUCCAGUCAGAGUGGUGGCACUGUGCCUGUUCAUUGUGGUUUACAGAUUCCAAAAGUCUGAACCAGAUAUGAUCAGAGUACAGUUUGAGAGCAUUUGGAAAUGUUUUGUUAUAACAGAUAUAGAACAAUAAAGAAAAGAACAGAGCACAUAUUUCCCCUUCUUAUAAUUGUACCAAAUAAGACCGAGUACAACAGUUAGUUAAAGCUUAUAAAAGCAAACAGCCAUGUCUAGCGAACCGGAGGAAAUUGCAUACUGUCUGCGUCUUAUGUCAGUGUGUAUUGACAUAGGUAAAGAGACCGUUCUGGAUGUCUUUGUUCACCAUUCGCCUGGGAAAAAUCCUGAAAAAUUUCUACAGUCAAAGGAACAAGCUCUGGUUAAACUGAAGAAUGACGGAAUUCUAAGUAAACACGACUGUGAUCUACUUCUGAAGGCAAGUAUGAUGUUAAACU